CGGGGGAAUCGACCCCCUCGGUGUCGUAGCUAACGCGUUAAGUGUUCCGCCUGGGGAGUACGCACGCAAGUGUGAAACUCAAAGGAAUUGACGGGGGCCCGCACAAGCGGUGGAGUAUGUGGUUUAAUUCGAUGCAACGCGAAGAACCUUACCAGGGUUUGACAUCCUGCGAAUCCCAUAGAAAUUUGGGAGUGCCUUCGGGAGCGCAGAGACAGGUGGUGCAUGGCUGUCGUCAGCUCGUGUCGUGAGAUGUUGGGUUAAGUCCCGCAACGAGCGCAACCCACGUCUUUAGUUGCCAGCAUUGAGUUGGGCACUCUAGAGAGACCGCCGGUGAUAAACCGGAGGAAGGUGUGGAUGACGUCAAGUCAUCAUGCCCCUUACAUCCUGGGCUACACACGUACUACAAUGCUACGGACAAAGGGUUGCAAACUCGCGAGAGCUAGCUAAUCCCAUAAACCGUGGCUCAGUUCAGAUCGUAGGCUGCAACUCGCCUACGUGAAGGAGGAAUCGCUAGUAAUCGCAGGUCAGCAUACUGCGGUGAAUACGUUCCCGGGCCUUGUACGCACUGCCCGUCACACCAUGGAAGUUGGCC
rnacentral:rRNA from 1 species